rnacentral:rRNA from 1 species
AGAGUUUGAUCCUGGCUCAGAGCGAACGCUGGCGGCAGGCCUAACACAUGCAAGUCGAGCGCCCCGCAAGGGGAGCGGCAGACGGGAGAGUAACACGUGGGAACGUACCCUUUGGUUCGGAACAACCCAGGGAAACUUGGGCUAAUACCGGAUAAGCCCUUACGGGGAAAGAUUCAUCGCCGAAGGAUCGGCCCGCGUCUGAUUAGCUAGUUGGUGGGGUAACGGCCCACCAAGGCGACGAUCAGUAGCUGGUCUGAGAGGAUGAUCAGCCUCACUGGGACUGAGACACGGCCCAGACUCCUACGGAGGCAGCAGUGGGGAAUAUUGGACAAUGGGCGCAAGCCUGAUCCAGCCAUGCCGCGUGGGUGAUGAAGGCCCUAGGGUUGUAAAGCCCUUUCGGCGGGGAAGAUAAUGACGGUACCCGCAGAAGAAGCCCCGGCUAACUUCGUGCCAGCAGCCGCGGUAAU